GCCAAGAUGUAUGCAGCCCACCACUGCACCAAAGUGCUCAAAUUAUGGUGGGUCCUAACUGCCUAGAUAUGCAUGACUAAAUAAACAACAAUAAAACACACACAGCACUUACCUGCAAGGAAAGGGGCAGAGGAAUGAGACCACUGCUAGCAGGGAACACUGAAACAAAAAGGCAAAGGAACGGGUGUGGCAACAAAAAACAAACAUUUAAAGGAAUCCAGGAGACUGGGAAUUCCAGGAAUGGAAUAAAGGAAUGAACCCAGAAUGAACCCAGAAAACCCAGCAUAAUAAAAACCAGACAUAGAAUAGAACACCAGAAAAACCAAGAAAAACUAAACAAGAAUUGUAAAAAGAGUACUGGAUACCAGAAGCCAAGGCUGAGAAAUGAUCUGCAGGCAGGAACAGGAUAUGACACUCUAUAUAUGCUGAAAUGUAUAAAGACAUUUUACCAUAUUUUAUUUUAACAGGAAAUCAUUGACAGUGACUCUUCCAGUAUAUUCUGAUUUGCCAUAAGGGACCUAUGCACCUUUUAUUUUUACAAUCGCCCCUCCCAGAAAUCCUAUGAUUGGCCACAAUAAACUGAGAUACCACAGACUUGGAGAGUUACUUCCUCUGUAAUCCAAUCAUCAUUAUGACAACCUGAGCAUCACUACAUCAAGUCUUUACCCAUUCUAAUACUCCGUACAUCAUUGAUACGACAUGUAGGACGUGCAAUCAGCAACCAAUGAACUCAGAGACAG